CCUACGGGAGGCAGCAGUGGGGAAUAUUGGACAAUGGGCGAAAGCCUGAUCCAGCAAUGCCGCGUGGGUGAAGAAGGUCUUCGGAUCGUAAAGCCCUUUCGACGGGGACGAUGAUGACGGUACCCGUAGAAGAAGCCCCGGCUAACUUCGUGCCAGCAGCCGCGGUAAUACGAAGGGGGCUAGCGUUGCUCGGAAUUACUGGGCGUAAAGGGCGCGUAGGCGGCGGCCCAAGUCAGGCGUGAAAUUCCUGGGCUCAACCUGGGGACUGCGCUUGAUACUGGGUUGCUUGAGGAUGGAAGAGGCUCGUGGAAUUCCCAGUGUAGAGGUGAAAUUCGUAGAUAUUGGGAAGAACACCGGUGGCGAAGGCGGCGAGCUGGUCCAUUACUGACGCUGAGGCGCGACAGCGUGGGGAGCAAACAGGAUUAGAUACCCUGGUAGUCCACGCCGUAAACGAUGUGCGCUGGAUGUUGGGGCCCAUAGGGUCUCAGUGUCGUAGCCAACGCGGUAAGCGCACCGCCUGGGGAGUACGGCCGCAAGGUUGAAACUCAAAUGAAUUGACGG
rnacentral:rRNA from 1 species